AUCAUAUUACUGACAGGUAAAGGCUUUAUCUCCAGGUGAUAUAAGGGGACAGUGACAGGUAAAGCCUUCACCACCAGGUGAUAAAAGAGGACAGUGACAGGUAAGGGGUUUAUCGCCAGGUGAUAUAAAGGGACAGUGACAGGUAAAGGCUUUAUCGCCAGGUGAUAUAAGGGGACAGUGACAGGUAAAGGCUUUAUCUCCAGGUGAUAUAAGGGGACAGUACAUGUAAAGGCUUUAUCUCCAGGUGAUAUAAGGGGACAGUGACAGGUAAAGGCUUUAUCGCUAGGUGAUAUAAGGGGACAGUGACAGGUAAAGGCUUUAUCGCCAGGUGAUAUAAGGGGACAGUACAGGUAAAGGCUUUAUCGCCAGGUGAUAUAAGGGGACAGUGACAGGUAAAGGCUUUAUCUCCA